rfam:Leersia perrieri chromosome 3, whole genome shotgun sequence.
UGGUACCUAUGAUGUUGGCUCGGCUCACUCAGAUCAGACGGCAUUGGCGUGAUGUGUAUGCAAACAUGAUGCUUGCAUGCUCACCGGUGUUUCUGAUUGAGCCGUGCCAAUAUCCUAGUGCUCUUU